CACGUAGGCGGAUUGUUAAGUCGGGGGUGAAAUCCUGAGGCUCAACCUCAGAACUGCCUUCGAUACUGGCAAUCUCGAGUCCGGAAGAGGUUGGUGGAACAGCUAGUGUAGAGGUGAAAUUCGUAGAUAUUAGCUAGAACACCAGUGGCGAAGGCGGCCAACUGGUCCGGUACUGACGCUGAGGUGCGAAAGCGUGGGGAGCAAACAG
rnacentral:rRNA from 1 species